GGAUUGUAAACUUCUUUUAUAUGGGAAUAAAGUGCACCACGUGUGGUGUUUUGUAUGUACCAUAUGAAUAAGGAUCGGCUAACUCCGUGCCAGCAGCCGCGGUAAUACGGAGGAUCCGAGCGUUAUCCGGAUUUAUUGGGUUUAAAGGGAGCGUAGGCGGAUUGUUAAGUCAGUUGUGAAAGUUUGCGGCUCAACCGUAAAAUUGCAGUUGAUACUGGCAGUCUUGAGUGCAGUAGAGGUAAGCGGAAUUCGUGGUGUAGCGGUGAAAUGCUUAGAUAUCACGAAGAACUCCAAUUGCGAAGGCAGCUUGCUGGACUGUAACUGGCGCUGAUGCUCGAAAGUGUGGGUAUCAAACAGGAUUAGAUACCCUGGUAGUCCACACAGUAAA
rnacentral:rRNA from 1 species